rnacentral:rRNA from 1 species
ACGCUGGCGGCAGGCCUAACACAUGCAAGUCGAGCGGUAGAGAGAAGCUUGCUUCUCUUGAGAGCGGCGGACGGGUGAGUAAUGCCUAGGAAUCUGCCUGGUAGUGGGGGAUAACGUUCGGAAACGGACGCUAAUACCGCAUACGUCCUACGGGAGAAAGCAGGGGACCUUCGGGCCUUGCGCUAUCAGAUGAGCCUAGGUCGGAUUAGCUAGUUGGUGAGGUAAUGGCUCACCAAGGCGACGAUCCGUAACUGGUCUGAGAGGAUGAUCAGUCACACUGGAACUGAGACACGGUCCAGACUCCUACGGGAGGCAGCAGUGGGGAAUAUUGGACAAUGGGCGAAAGCCUGAUCCAGCCAUGCCGCGUGUGUGAAGAAGGUCUUCGGAUUGUAAAGCACUUUAAGUUGGGAGGAAGGGUUGUAGAUUAAUACUCUGCGAUUUUGACGUUACCGACAGAAUAAGCACCGGCUAACUCUGUGCCAGCAGCCGCGGUAAUACAGAGGGUGCAAGCGUUAAUCGGAAUUACUGGGCGUAAAGCGCGCGUAGGUGGUUUGUUAAGUUGGAUGUGAAAUCCCCGGGCUCAACCUGGGAACUCCAUUCAAAACUGACUGACUAGAGUAUGGUAGAGGGUGGUGGAAUUUCCUGUGUAGCGGUGAAAUGCGUAGAUAUAGGAAGGAACACCAGUGGCGAAGGCGACCACCUGGACUAAUACUGACACUGAGGUGCGAAAGCGUGGGGAGCAAAC